rnacentral:rRNA from 1 species
CGGGGUGGAGUAACGCGUGGGUAACCGUGCCUCACACAGGGGAGUAACAGUUGGAAACGGCUGCUAAUACCGCAUAAGCGCACAGUACCGCAUGGUACAGUGUGAAAAACUCCGGUGGUGUGAGAUGGACCCGCGUCUGAUUAGCUAGUUGGCAGGGUAACGGCCUACCAAGGCGACGAUCAGUAGCCGACCUGAGAGGGUGACCGGCCACAUUGGGACUGAGACACGGCCCAA